rnacentral:rRNA from 1 species
GUGGCACGGCCGGUUGGCUACGUUCGGAAGGGAUAACCGCUGAAAGCAUCUAAGCGGGAAGCCUGCUCCAAGAUAAGCAUUCCGUGGAACCUUCGAGUUCCUGUAGUCCCCAUGCAGAACACGUGGUCGAUAGGCCGGACGUGGAAGCCCCGCGAGGGGUGGAGCCGACCGGUACUAACGGACGAAAGGCA